rnacentral:rRNA from 1 species
ACGUACCCAAGAGUGGGGGAUAACGUAGCGAAAGUUACGCUAAUACCGCAUACGAUCUAUGGAUGAAAGCAGGGGACCGCAAGGCCUUGUGCUCCUGGAGCGGCCGAUAUCUGAUUAGCUAGUUGGUAGGGUAAAGGCCUACCAAGGCGACGAUCAGUAGCUGGUCUGAGAGGACGACCAGCCACACUGGAACUGAGACACGGUCCAGACUCCUACGGGAGGCAGCAGUGGGGAAUUUUGGACAAUGGGCGCAAGCCUGAUCCAGCAAUGCCGCGUGAGUGAAGAAGGCCUUCGGGUUGUAAAGCUCUUUUGUCAGGGAAGAAACGGCAGGCGCUAAUAUCGCUUGCUAAUGACGGUACCUGAAGAAUAAGCACCGGCUAACUACGUGCCAGCAGCCGCGGUAAUACGUAGGGUGCAAGCGUUAAUCGGAAUUACUGGGCGUAAAGCGUGCGCAGGCGGUUUUGUAAGUCUGUCGUGAAAGCCCCGGGCUCAACC